GCCGGGUGUGCUGGUGCGCACCUGUAAUCCCAGCUACUCAGGAGGCUGAGACAGGAGAAUCGCUUGAACCCGGGAGGUGGAGGUUGCAGUGAGCCAAAAUUGUGCCAUUGUACUCCAGCCUGGGUGACAGAGCGAGACUCUGUCUCAA
rnacentral:sRNA from 1 species